AGUGAACGCUGGCGGUAGGCCUAACACAUGCAAGUCGAACGGCAGCACAGUAAGAGCUUGCUCUUACGGGUGGCGAGUGGCGGACGGGUGAGGAAUACAUCGGAAUCUACUUUUUCGUGGGGGAUAACGUAGGGAAACUGACGCUAAUACCGCAUACGACCUACGGGUGAAAUCAGGGGAUCUUCGGACCUUGCGCGAUUGAAUGAGCCGAUGUCGGAUUAGCUAGUUGGCGUGGUAAAGGCCCACCAAGGCGACGAUCCGUAGCUGGUCUGAGAGGAUGAUCAGCCACACUGGAACUGAGACACGGUCCAGACUCCUACGGGAGGCAGCAGUGGGGAAUAUUGGACAAUGGGCGCAAGCCUGAUCCAGCCAUACCGCGUGGGUGAAGAAGGCCUUCGGGUUGUAAAGCCCUUUUGUUGGGAAAGAAAAGAAGCAGGUUAAUCCCCCGCUGUUCUGACGGUACCCAAAGAAUAAGCAACGGCUAACUUCGUG
rnacentral:rRNA from 1 species